GUCCAAAAUUUUGCAUUUUGUUGUGCUGGUUUCCAUCAGACAUUCGAGAGUACAGACACGACAAGGAUCUACGAAAGAUCAUAAAAAAUCGAGGAAUCAGACUGACGUAGUUUUGUUUAUUUGCAGAGGACUGUAUUGGAGACAACGAAACGAAC
ensembl:ncRNA C34D1.12 ncRNA